UUGGAGGGCAAGUCUGGUGCCAGCAGCCGCGGUAAUUCCAGCUCCAAUAGCGUAUAUUAAAGUUGUUGCAGUUAAAAAGCUCGUAGUUGAAUUUCGGGGUUAGUAGGUUGGUCAUGCCUCCGGUAUGUACUGAUCUCACUGAUUCCUCCUUCCUUAUGAACCGUAAUGCCAUUAAUUUGGUGUUGCGGGGAAUUUGGACUGUUACUUUGAAAAAAUUAGAGUGUUUAAAGCAGGCUAACGCUUGAAUACAUUAGCAUGGAAUAAUGAAAUAGGACGUUCGAUCUUAUUUUGUUGGUUUCUAGGAUUGACGUAAUGAUUAAUAGGGAUAGUUGGGGGCAUUAGUAUUCAAUUGUCAGAGGUGAAAUUCUUGGAUUUAUUGAAGACUAACUACUGCGAAAGCAUUUGCCAAGGAUGUUUUCAUUAAUCAAGAACGAAAGUUAGGGGAUCGAAGACGAUCAGAUACCGUCGUAGUCUUAACCAUAAACUAUGCCAACUAGGGAUCGGAUGAUGUUAAUUUUUUAAUGACUCAUUCGGCGCCUUACGGGAAAC
rnacentral:rRNA from 1 species